GUGUGACUGUAGGCUAAUAAUUCUAUGUGUUUUCUCUUUGCGUGUCUUUAAAGGAUUGGAUCAGAUCUAUUUCUGCCCAAGUUGUGCAGAUCUUACCAGAUAUUAAGAAGAUAAAAAGAAAUAGAGAAAGAAUGUUCAGCAAAGACAGGACUCCUGCCUUCUCAAUGUGAAUUGUUCCUUUGUUCUUCUCUGUGUUCCUGUCCAGCCACACGGGAAACUCUUAAGAGACAAAGAAAAACAAAACAGACCCUCUGCUGUUUGAAGGUGGUGCCGCUGAGUCUUCUGUCCCUGGUACAUCAGACUAUCGGAGGAUGGUAUUCUGAGAUUUUUGCAGUAGAGGAUAGGAAGUCUUUAAUGGGGGCUU
rnacentral:lncRNA from 1 species